GUUUAGAAACAGCUUGAGCCAGAGUAGGGACUACUCUCAGUCUCUCUGGCCUCUCUGCCUCCUUUCCCCAGGCGGUGGACUCUGGCACCAAGACUCUGUCUCCCUCUCCGCUGCAGGGAGCCGGGUAUGCAGGAUUCCUGUGGGACGCGGCGGCCGGCGUGGAGCUGAGAGACGCCGGCUCGCAGGAGAGCUCGCCCAGCAACGGGCACGGGAAGCCGGCGGGCCCCAGCCCAUACCUCACGCGGUUCAAGGUGGGAAGUCACGACCUGACCCUUGUUAACCUUCACCUGGCAGCCCUGACCCUCCCGGGGAGUGAGAAUCCCAGCAAGAAUCACAGUGAUGGCCACCGGUUGGCGAGCUUUGCACAGACCCUACAGGAAACGCUGAAAGGAGAAAAGGAUGUCAUUAUCUUAGGAGAUUUUGGCCAAGGGCCAGACAGCAAUGACUAUGAUAUUCUGAGGAAAGAAAAGUUCCACCACCUGAUCCCUGCACACACCUUCACCAACAUCAGCACCAAGAACCCGCAAGGCUCGAAGUCUCUGGAUAACAUCUGGAUCAGUAAAAGCUUAAAGAAGGUUUUCACAGGUGAGGCAGAACUCACUUGUCCUUUCUCCUGUUCGGGAAUGGAGGGAGAGAAACAUGUUUGAACUGACAGAAGUCAUCUCACCUCCUCUGGGGCAUUCAUAGGGUUGUGGUUUAGAUGACUGUAUAACUACCAUUCAGUCAGAGAUGGAGUCCAGGAAUCCAGGCCCCUGUCAGUCCUGCACUGAGGACCGCACAGUGCUUUCCAGCCGUUCUCUAAUUGUUUUUGUAACUAUUCGUUAUUUAAUUAUAUUCAAAUAUACCUACUGCUUCAUAGAUUUCUAAAUCCUCAUUUUUCAAAGUGAAGGGGAGUAUGACAAAUAAUUUUAGAACACCCACUGACCUACAGCAAGCAGAUGUGUUCCGGGCAAACCUGGUCAUAGAUUAGCAGAGUCCUGAUUCAGAGAUGAGCUGAUAACGUUACUUUUAGGACACUUAGUCCUCUAGCAAACAUUUGUCAAACGUGCAAGCGCUGUGUUGUAGAAUGCAGCGUAGACAUGCUGUGAGGUGGACGUGCUGUGAGGUGAGCAGGCGUCUCAUGUAGUGUCACAAUGAGACAGGAGACAUGCUCAGAGCUCCGCAAGGAGCAGGGUGUGGGGGUGAUUUCACCCUCCCUGCAAACUGGUAACCUGCUGAGUCAGGAGACAGUCAGCGAUAUGGAAGAGACAGUAGGGUCUUUUGAUGAAAGACAAAAACAGUGUUUCUAAACUCUGGACACUUUGCAAAGCCCCAUGGAUGCCUAUUAUACUUCAAUGAGAAAUUUAAAAAUAAGAAAAGUUGCAGGGCCUGGCUUUUAUUGCAAGAGAGACUAACGGGCAGCCAAGGCCAAGAUCUUCAAGCCUAGGACAUCUAGGCUUGACUCUCACCCGCUUCUCCCCUCUCUCUCGGGGCACUAGUUUCCUAUUGUACUCUGUCAUGGGAGGACCCAAAUGGUAAAGAAAAUGGGUCUCAGGGGAGUGACAAUCAUCAAACUAGCCUCGGUUUGCAGAAAUGCUCUAUGGGCCAGGAGCAGAGGCCAGCCCAUGGCCUUCGCAGGCUCCCAGGAAGGUGCCUAUUGAAGGAAGAGAGCUGGGGAAGCUGAGCCAACAGGGCUGGAAGGAAGUUGGAAAUCCUUUCAGUGGUUCCCUUCCUGUGAAGUUGCCGAGCUCAGGGAGGAGUUGCCCCCGCUAUAGAACAGUCAGCAGUGUGUGCCAAAGCUCCACCCAGAAUCCAGGCCCCUGUCAAUCCUGCGCUAAGGACCGCACAGUGCUUUCUGGCCAUUCUGUAAUUGUUUUUGUAACUAUUCAUUAUUUAAUUAUGUUCUAAUAUACCUCCUGCUUCAUAGAUUUCUAAAUCAUCAUUUUAAAAAUACUGUUACUUUCUCAUAAGCUUCUGUAAUUUUCUUUUUUUACCCUUUCUGUAGAAAAGAUUUCUACCCCUAACCCCCUUAGUGCUUUUGCUUUGCAAAAUCGGACCUUUGCUUUGGACUUGGGAC
rnacentral:lncRNA from 10 species